GUGCUCACUUCGGCAGCACAUAUACUAAAGUUGGAAUGAUACAGAGAAGAUUGGCAUGGCCCCCUGCCGAAGGAUGACAGGCAAAUUUGUGAAGUGUUCCAUUUUUUU
rnacentral:snRNA from 1 species